rnacentral:ncRNA from 2 species
GGAUGGAUCUCUGGAGAGACCGAAAGGCACCGAAGGAGGAAGUGUUAAAGUGAGGUUACUUAAUCUCCUUUGGCGAGAAACUCUCAGGUAAAAAUACAGAGGUAUAUAA